ACGCACGUGUGAAACUUGAAGGAAUUGACGGAAGGGCACCACAAGAACGCGUGGAGCAUGUGGCUUAAUUUGACUCAACGCGGGAAAUCUUACCAGGUCCGAGCACGCUGAGGAUUGACAGGUUUUUAUAAGACAGUAUUUUUUUAAUUUAUUAAAAAUUUAUUGCAUAAUUUCUUAUAUUAAAUAUGCUAGUCCUUUCAUGAUUGCGUGAUAGGUGGUGCAUGGCCGUUCUUAGUUCGUGGAGUGAUCUGUCUGCUUAAUUGCGUUUCAGAUAAAAUUGGAGGUAAAGUGUAUAUGUUGUGUUUUUUUCUUCUUUUAUUUUUUAAUUAAGAUAUUAGAGGAAGCCAACUGAGCACUCCUCCAUUGAAAGCAACGAACGUGACCG
rnacentral:rRNA from 1 species